CCUAGAGAUAGUGGACGUUACUCGCAGAAUAAGCACCGGCUAACUCUGUGCCAGCAGCCGCGGUAAUACAGAGGGUGCAAGCGUUAAUCGGAUUUACUGGGCGUAAAGCGCGCGUAGGCGGCUAAUUAAGUCAAAUGUGAAAUCCCCGAGCUUAACUUGGGAAUUGCAUUCGAUACUGGUUAGCUAGAGUGUGGGAGAGGAUGGUAGAAUUCCAGGUGUAGCGGUGAAAUGCGUAGAGAUCUGGAGGAAUACCGAUGGCGAAGGCAGCCAUCUGGCCUAACACUGACGCUGAGGUGCGAAAGCAUGGGGAGCAAACAGGAUUAGAUACCCUGGUAGUCCAUGCCGUAAACGAUGUCUACUAGCCGUUGGGGCCUUUGAGGCUUUAGUGGCGCAGCUAACGCGAUAAGUAGACCGCCUGGGGAGUACGGUCGCAAGACUAAAACUCAAAUGAAUUGACGGGGGCCCGCACAAGCGGUGGAGCAUGUGGUUUAAUUCGAUGCAACGCGAAGAACCUUACCUGGCCUUGACAUAGUAAGAACUUUCCAGAGAUGGAUUGGUGCCUUCGGGAACUUACAUACAGGUGCUGCAUGGCUGUCGUCAGCUCGUGUCGUGAGAUGUUGGGUUAAGUCCCGCAACGAGCGCAACCCUUUUCCUUAUUUGCCAGCGAGUAAUGUCGGGAACUUUAAGGAUACUGCCAGUGACAAACUGGAGGAAGGCGGGGACGACGUCAAGUCAUCAUGGCCCUUACGGCCAGGGCUACACACGUGCUACAAUGGUCGGUACAAAGGGUUGCUACCUAGCGAUAGGAUGCUAAUCUCAAAAAGCCGAUCGUAGUCCGGAUUGGAGUCUGCAACUCGACUCCAUGAAGUCGGAAUCGCUAGUAAUCGCGGAUCAGAAUGCCGCGGUGAAUACGUUCCCGGGCCUUGUACACACCGCCCGUCACACCAUGGGAGUUUGUUGCACCAGAAGUAGCUAGCCUAACUGCAAAGAGGGCGGU
rnacentral:rRNA from 1 species